rnacentral:rRNA from 1 species
AGUGAACGCUGGCGGUAGGCCUAACACAUGCAAGUCGAACGGCAGCACAGUAAGAGCUUGCUCUUACGGGUGGCGAGUGGCGGACGGGUGAGGAAUACAUCGGAAUCUACUUUUUCGUGGGGGAUAACGUAGGGAAACUUACGCUAGUACCGCAUACGACCUACGGGUGAAAGCAGGGGAUCUUCGGACCUUGCGCGAUUGAAUGAGCCGAUGUCGGAUUAGCUAGUUGGCGGGGUAAAGGCCCACCAAGGCGACGAUCCGUAGCUGGUCUGAGAGGGUGAUAAGCAAAACGGGAAAUGAGACACGGUCCAGACUCCGACGGGAGGAAGCAGUGGGGAAUAUUGGACAAUGGGGGCAAGCCUGAUCCAGCAAUACCGCGUGGGUGAAGAAGGCCUUCGGGUUGUAAAGCCCUUUUGUUGGGAAAGAAAAGCAGCAGGUUAAUACCCCGCUGUUCUGACGGUACCCAAAGAAUAAGCACCGGCUAACUUCGUG